GACCCCUUAGCUCAGUUGGUAGAGCAUUUGACUUUUAAUCAAAGGGUCGGGCGUUCGAAUCGCCCAGGGGUCACCA
rnacentral:tRNA from 9 species